UACGGAGGGUGCAAGCGUUAUCCGGAUUCACUGGGUUUAAAGGGUGCGUAGGCGGAUAGGGAAGUCCGUGGUGAAAUCCUGCAGCUUAACUGCAGAACUGCCGUGGAUACUCUCUAUCUUGAAUAUCGUGGAGGUUAGCGGAAUAUGUCAUGUAGCGGUGAAAUGCUUAGAUAUGACAUAGAACACCCAAUUGCGAAGGCAGCUAACUACGCGAUCAUUGACGCUGAUGCACGAAAGCGUGGGGAUCAAACAGG
rnacentral:rRNA from 1 species